GUGAAUCCAAUAUUCGGUAAA
ensembl:piRNA 21ur-1558 ncRNA